GAUGAACGCUAGCGGGAGGCUUAACACAUGCAAGUCGAGGGGUAUUGUAGCAAUACAUUAGACCGGCGCACGGGUGAGUAACGCGUAUGCAACCUGCCGUUAACCGGGGGAUAGCCCGUCGAAAGGCGGAUUAAUACCCCAUAAUAUUGGGAUUCUGCAUGGGAUUUCAAUUAAAGCUGAGGUGGUUAACGAUGGGCAUGCGUGACAUUAGCUAGUUGGUAGGGUAACGGCCUACCAAGGCUACGAUGUCUAGGGGUUCUGAGAGGAAGGUCCCCCACACUGGUACUGAGGCACGGACCAGACUCCUACGGGAGGCAGCAGUGAGGAAUAUUGGUCAAUGGGCGAGAGCCUGAACCAGCCAUCCCGCGUGCAGGAAGACGGCCCUAUGGGUUGUAAACUGCUUCUGCGCAUGAAGAAUGUUACCGACGUGUCGGUAAGUGACGGUAAUGCGUGAAUAAGCAUCGGCUAACUCCGUGCCAGCCGCCGCCGUAAGAC
rnacentral:rRNA from 1 species